AGACAGGCUACCAAUGGGAAGCACGAUAGUUCCAAAACGAUCCUUCAGGUCAUUACUGCACCCCUUUGACAUGGAAACCAGUUCCUCUUCUCCAGCAGGAGCUGCACCCCCCAUAUGAUCGCAAACCAGCUUGGCAAGCUGAUCAACAGCUUCUUUUGUGGUGAUGCAACUAGGGGAUAUGCUAUGAAUUCUAUUCUGCAGUUCCUUCAAGCUGAGAUCAUUACAGCGAUCAAUUAAAAUCACUUCAACAGAUGGUGCUUUAGAGGGAUCAACCGCCCUCAAUGAUUCAAUUGAUGGAAUACGGCCACUUUCUUGCACAACUGAGCAGAGAGCCCAAACAUAUGGAUCCAUCCCAUAAAUCCAAUAAAAUCCAUCAGGGACUUUGUCAAAGUAUGACAUACAUCCAUUUAUCCACAAUCGAUGUGACAUUGUUACCGCUGAUGCAGUAGAAUCUGAAUCUCGGGAUGCCAAUACAUCAGUCACAGGAUCCAAGAAGUUUGGACUAUCAGCACAGGUUGCUUCUGAAGAGAGCCUUAUUGCCAAAGCUAACUGCAGCUGAUAA
rnacentral:misc_RNA from 1 species